CCUCGGUCUCCAACAUGGGCUUUUGCAUCCCUUUUUAGUUCCUAAAAGCAAAAUUAACUUCAAGAUUGAGUGCAGCAUACUCUUAGAGUUUUUUCUUAACUUUAUCAUUGGAGCGUUGGUCCGAGAGCCCUUCCCGUCCAAUCAGCUUACGAGUUGUUUGUUGUCUCCGGGUUAACUUAGCAAUGAAGAAGUCGAUAAUUCUCAUAAACAAUGGAAGGUGAACCGGGAGGCAUAUCAAGUGGCCCCAUCUGUCGAUAAUUCUCAUAAACAAUGGAAGGUAAACCGGGAGGCGCAUCAAGUGGCGCCAUUUGUGAGACUUUGCAACAAAUAGCCAACGAAGAAAACCCAGUUGUUUAUGCGAUUCCUAUCACAAGAAUGCAAAACCUUAAAGGAAACCUCGAAGAAAUGCCACAAAUUGCAACCGAAAUUAAAAAAAAAAAAAAAAAAAAACAAGAAUGUGACACCAGAAGGCCCAAGAUAAGAAAAAAGGAUAAAUGAGUCAAAAGAUGUUAGAGGCAGAAGACAUGGAAAUGGAGGUGUUCAAAGCCUUCAAGAAUAUUAGAGCUACGAGGAAGCGGCAAAUAGAAAAAAAUAAGUGAAUGGCUCAAAAAAGAAGGAAUGGGAUUUGGUUUCUUAUAUUGAUAUAUUUAUACAUAUAUUUACGCAUUAUUCAAUACAUUUUAAGCUAUAUUCUAGUUAUUUGCAGAGAUAUUUUGUACUUAUUGAGAUAAAUUGCAUUUUGCAACAAAAUAGGACAUUCUUGAAGAAAAAGGACCAAAACCAACAAAAGCUAGAACCUAGAAGGACUGGAGCUGAAGCUGGGAGCUUAACGAAACUUAAAAGGAAGAAAAACCAAGAAAAUACAUGUCCCACGAUGUGGCUUCAGAGUCCCACGAUGUGGUGAUUAGAAAAUUCUCGACGGUAUACAUAAUACUAAGCUCACAACGUGAGCCUUAUAAUCUUAUGUCGUAAGGAGGUACCCUUCCAAAAGAUAACUAUGUGAAAUGCAGUUUCCUUGCCAGACACGAUUUGUACUGAUCUCACAACAUGAGACCCUAAUUCUCAUGACGCGAGACAUGAAUUUAGGAAAUUAUAAAUAUCCCUUCACAAUUUUUUUAGAAGGUUGGAUUCUAGAGAGAAGAACGGAUUUAGAAGCCAGAGAAGAGUGAAAAACAACCCUUUGGAAGAGAGAAUGUGUUAGAGAUUGAACAUUUUAAGAUUACAAAUUACAUUCGGUUUGCAUUUGAUUAAACAUGUCUAAAUCUGAUGUUUUUGUGCGCUUAUUUUCUGCUAUGAGUGGCUAAUCAUUAGUCUUUCGUUUAGUGUAGAUGAAUCCUAAAAUUAUGUGUUAGUGUCUAGCUUAUAUUUGGAUUUUAUGAAGUUGGUUAAUGCAUGUAUUUGAUUAUCUUUA